rnacentral:rRNA from 1 species
GCUGUCGCUGACGUUUUCGUCGUGCACGCCCAAAGCGCUCUCACACAUCCAUCUCACCCUUAUGUGCACCACCGCGUGGGUCCCCCCUUUUGAAGGGGGGGCUCGCGUUUUCAUACAAACUUGACGCAGUGUAGAAUGUCUUUAUAUUUUGCGAUCACACGCAAUCAAUACAACUUUCAACAACGGAUCUCUUGGCUCUCGCAUCGAUGAAGAACGCAGCGAAAUGCGAUACGUAAUGUGAAUUGCAGAAUUCAGUGAAUCAUCGAAUCUUUGAACGCACCUUGCGCCCCUUGGCAUUCCGAGGGGCACACCCGUUUGAGUGUCGUGAAAUUCUCAAAACCUUUUCUUUGGUCUUUCGACCGGGUUUAGCGUUUUGGACUUGGAGGCUUUUUGCUGGUUUCACCUUGAAGCGAGCUCCUCCUAAAUGGAUUAGCGGGGUCUGCUUUGCCGAUCCUUGACGUGAUAAGAUGUUUCUACGUCUCGGGUUUGGCACUGUCCCUUGGGCACCUGCUUCUAACCGUCUCAUCGACAAUGAUGGCGUUCCGGUCAC